UACCAGAGGAAUAAGCACCGGCUAACUCCGUGCCAGCAGCCGCGGUAAUACGGAGGGUGCAAGCGUUAUCCGGAUUCACUGGGUUUAAAGGGUGCGUAGGUGGGCAGGUAAGUCAGUGGUGAAAUCUUCGAGCUUAACUCGGAAACUGCCAUUGAUACUAUCUGUCUUGAAUAUCCUGGAGGUGAGCGGAAUAUGUCAUGUAGCGGUGAAAUGCUUAGAUAUGACAUAGAACACCAAUUGCGAAGGCAGCUCACUACGGGAUGAUUGACGCUGAGGCACGAAAGCGUGGGGAUCAAACAGGAUUAGAUACCCUGGUAGU
rnacentral:rRNA from 1 species